rnacentral:rRNA from 1 species
UCUCUUAUGGUUGACCUCGGAUCAGGUAGGGAUACCC